rnacentral:rRNA from 1 species
GAAUAUUGCACAAUGGGCGGAAGCCUGAUGCAGCGACGCCGCGUGGGGGAUGACGGUCUUCGGAUUGUAAACCCCUUUCAGUAGGGACGAAGCGCAAGUGACGGUACCUGCAGAAGAAGCACCGGCCAACUACGUGCCAGCCGCCGCGGUAAUACGUAGGGUGCGAGCGUUGUCCGGAAUUACUGGGCGUAAAGAGCUCGUAGGCGGUUUGUCACGUCGUCUGUGAAAUCCUCCAGCUUAACUGGGGGCGUGCAGGCGAUACGGGCAGACUUGAGUACUACAGGGGAGACUGGAAUUCCUGGUGUAGCGGUGAAAUGCGCAGAUAUCAGGAGGAACACCGAUGGCGAAGGCAGAUCUCUGGGCCGUAACUGACGCUGAGGAGCGAAAGCAUGGGGAGCGAACA